rnacentral:lncRNA from 1 species
UUACAAGACAUCCACCCCCUUUUUUUUCUUAUCGCACACCCACUCACAACUCAUGGUGAUAUAUGAUUUUGUCACAUAAAAUUCUAACAUUAUUCACCAGUGAAUAGGUUCCUUCCUUUAAAUAAAUAUGGCAUCUUGAUUUGAUCAUAAGUCCUAGCUAAUUUAGUAUAACUUACCUUAUCCAAAGAAGAGUCCUAAAUAAGAA